ensembl:lncRNA
AAAUAAACUGCUUCCCAAAGAAAUCUGUAAAUUGUUCAUAGAAAGAGAAGGUGGGUAUAACUUAAGAGGGAAAUGGAAUUUAAAAAUACAAAGUGCUAGAACAACUUUAAGAACUAUGUCUAUCUCAAUUGCAGGAGUUAAAUUAUGGAACAGUCUAACAGAAGAAAUAAAAGACAGUCAAAACAUAAAACAGUUUAAAGUAAAAUAUAAAAACCUAAUUUUAAAUAAGUAUAAGAAUGAAGAAAACGGGGUUAACCCAGGACGGUAAUGUUGCUGGUAAUGGUGUUGCGGUUCUUUUUUGUUUUUUUGUUUUUUUGUUUUGUUUUGUUUUGUUGUUUUUCCAUAGCUUGUGUAUCUGCAAAUAUACACAUUCUGUAUUUUUCAUAUGAAAUAAACUAUACUGUGGUGGGGCUUGCUAAUUUCUUGUUUUUGAUUUAUGUAUGUUAUGUUUUGUUUUACUUCAUAUGUUUCAUAUGUUGUUUGUUUAAUUUAAGACAAAAAAAAAAAUUAAAUGAAUGAGAGGUAAAACUUGAGGGGGUAGGGACAAAUAAGUAAAUACUUCAGCCUACUCCUUUUCAAACAAAUAAUGGAAUGAUAUUUUGUAAUGAUUGUGAAGGCACAUAUUUGAAAUGUUUGAAAUAAAAAUGAACUGAACUGAACUGAACUAAUGACGAAGUCGCGGGGAAAGGAAGUGACACGAUUUUUGAAAGCUUCACAUUGUAACAACUCUCCUUCAUAUGGACCAAUUUUAUUUAUUUUUGUAUUGAUCUAUUUUAUAUCAAUUUGUGCUGCUUUUCACAGGAAAUUCAAAAUUACCCACCGGUAGUAAUUCGGGAGCAGUUUUUGUUUUCCAAACCUGGAGUUAUGCCUCAGUCAAAAUGCCUUUUUGUCACAUCCUAGAUUAAAUGACUCUCUAAAAUUACUCACUUUUCAAGUGGCGUACAGAACACAGCGUCAUUGUUUAUUCAUGCAGCGAGUGCGCAACUGAUUGAAAGACCAGAAAGCGGGACAUUUUGCGGCGUUAAC